GAUGAACGCUGGCGGCGUGCUUAACACAUGCAAGUCGAACGGAAAGGCUCCUGCUUGCUGGGGUACUCGAGUGGCGAACGGGUGAGUAACACGUGGGUGAUCUGCCCUGCACUUCGGGAUAAGCCUGGGAAACUGGGUCUAAUACCGGAUAGGACGAUGGUUUGGAUGCCAUUGUGGAAAGUUUUUUCGGUGUGGGAUGAGCUCGCGGCCUAUCAGCUUGUUGGUGGGGUAGUGGCCUACCAAGGCGUCGACGGGUAGCCGGCCUGUGAGGGUGUACGGCCACAUUGGGACUGAGAUACGGCCCAGACUCCUACGGGAGGCAGCAGUGGGGAAUAUUGCACAAUGGGCGCAAGCCGGAUGCAGCGACGCCGCGUGGGGGAUGACGGCCUUCGGGUUGUAAACACCUUUCGCUAGGGACGAAGCGCAAGUGACGGUACCUGGAGAAGAAGCACCGGCUAACUACGUG
rnacentral:rRNA from 1 species